rnacentral:lncRNA from 1 species
AUGGCAGUAGCUGGAACCUCGGAGGUGGAGCUCCUCCAGAAAGCCCUCUUCUUCAAAAUGUUCCCUGUAGCACUGGCGUACGGCACCCUGAAGUCAUGCAAACAACUCACAUCAUCCUUAUCAAGAGAGAAGGUGCUAUCUGCUGAGCUAAUAGAAACCAGCUGGUUGCUGAGUUCUACAAAGGGAAGCUUACAGCAAGCUGAAAGCAUGCUUAUUCUGGCUGUGCCCAAAGCAUGGGCUCUAUCACCAUUGCAAACAACAAGGCCUGAGGAUGUUACAGCCAAUACACUGAGGUUUGUAGCAGCAGAAUUAUUUCUUCUCUCAAGAUUUCUGCAAAGGAGUAUGAGGGCAAAGUGAACAUUUUAACAAGGAGAUAUUCAACAGGUAGCUGGCUGUGAAACAUGGUGUUUGGCAGUACAGGAAGUCUCUUGAAUUCUUUUGAAUUGCUAUUGCUUAAUCUUCUUGCGAAUGCUUAAUUGAGAAGAUAUUUUCCAUAUGAAAAUAUUUUCCCCUCCAGCUUUAUUAUUAUGCACUUUGUACAAAUCAGGCAAACGUGGAUCUUGAAAGACAAUCUCUAUGAAAAUGCCAGACAUGAAAUCCUAGCUGUAUAUGUUAGAGACUCCAUUCAAGUAAAAUUAAAUCAAUAUCUACUCUGAUCUUCUUCAGGUGUCUCAAACUUCACUUUCAGUUGUUUCAACUCUUAUAUAUCUUGGAAAAAUACAGGAAUUAUAUUUUCUACAGUACACUUUUCAUGGCAUCAGAUCAAAGGAGCUGAUCCUGCCCCUCUGCUCUGCGCUGGUGAGACCUCACCUGGAGAACUGUGUCCAGAUGUGGAGUCCUCAGUACAGGACAGACACAGACCUGUUGGAGUGCAUCCAGAGGAGGGCCUCGAAAAUGAUACAAGUGAGGUGACAUCUCUCCUACAAGGGCAGGCUGAAAGAGCUGGGGCUGCUCCAGGUAGAUUUGAAAGGCCACUACCUUUCAAUAUCUAAAGGGGGGCUGUAAGGAGGAAGGGGACAGACUCUUUAGCAGGGUUUUUAGCUUUUG